AUGGCGGAGCUGAUCGCCAUAUCCCUCUCCGCCAAGGUCGCCGCGGCGCUGCUCCGCACGGGCCGCACCACGGCCGUCUUCCUCGCCUCCUUCAUCUCCGUCCGCUCCGGUAUCGCCGCCGCCGCGCGCGACCUCGACCUCCUCCGCGCCUUCCUCCGCUUCGCCGACUCCCGCCGCGGCACCGACGAGCUCGUCGACGCAUGGGUCAACCAGGUUCGCCACGUCGGCUUCGAGCUCGAGGACGUCACCGACGAGUAUACCUUUCUCUCGGGCGUCGGCUUCGUCCGUGCCUGCGCUGACGUAGCGGCCCGGUUCGCCCUCCUGAGGCGCCUGCGGAAGGCAAGGGAGAGGCUCCGCGCCCUGUCCGCCGUGAAGGAGCAGCUUGGCAUCCGGCCGGCCGAGGCAUCCGCGUCAAGCUCGGCUCCUGCGGCGGCCGCUAUCUGCCGGAACAUAUCGGAGGCGGCGCACUUCGUGCUGGAAGGGGAAAUCGUCGGUUUUGCCGAGCACACAAGGUUACUGAUGAAAUGGCUAACCGGGGACGCCAACCCCCGGCGGAUAAUAGUGGCCGUCUGCGGGAUGGGCGGUGUUGGCAAGACUACUCUUGCCACUAACUUGUACAAGAAAAUCGCUGCAAACUGCAAUUUCGAUUGCACCGCAUGGGUUACCGUCUCCAAGAACUUCACGACGGAGGACCUCAUGAGGAGAAUCAUCAAGGAACUUCAUCGGGAUGUCCGAGACAGUGCGCUGGGGGACACACAGGAGAUGGACUACCGGUCACUAGUCGAGGCUCUUCGUGGGCAUCUGGCUCACAAGAGGUACUUUCUUUUGCUGGAUGAUGUCUGGAAUGCGGAUGCCUGGUUUCAGCUCCGCGGUGCAUUGCUUGAUAGUGAAACCGGGAGCCGAAUAGUCAUCACCACACGCAAUCAAGAAGUGGCUGCUCUGGCAUCAUACAGCAGGACCAUCAUGUUGCAGCCGCUCCGUGAACAUGAAGCAUGGUCUCUAUUUUGUAACACCACAUUCAGGGAAGAUGCGAACCAGGAGUGCCCAUAUCACCUGCAGAAUUGGGCUUUCAAGAUACUGGAGAGAUGUUGUGGUCUGCCAUUGGCGAUCAUAUCGGUCGGAAACCUCCUUCUGUUGAAGGAGAAAACAGAGUUUGCUUGGAAGAACGUCCAUGAUAGCCUUGUGUGGGAUGAAAGAGAUGACCAUGGAAUUGGGCAAGUGGUGAGCGUACUGAAUUUCAGUAUUGAUGACUUACCAUACCGCCUGAAGAGAUGUUUCCUCUAUUGCAGUGUAUACCCUGAGGAUUUCUUUAUCAAAAGGAAGAUUCUUAUCAGAGAGUGGAUUGCCGAAGGUUUGAUAGAGGAAACAGGGCAUGGCACGAUGGAGGAGGUCGCGGAUGGUUACUUGAACGAGCUAGUGCAACGCAACUUGUUGCUUGUCAAGUUGAAAAAUGAGUUUGGGCGUGCAAAGCGGUUACACAUUCACGACCUGAUCAGGGAGAUUGCUGCAUAUAGAUCAAAACAAGAUGGAUUCUUUCAGUUAUCUAAGAGUGCAAGGGUGGACUCCAAACAGAAAAUCCGUUAUCUUACACUUUACCAGUGCCAAAGUGACCGUCAGUCAGCUCCAAAUAUGCCCUCACUUCGCUCCUUCUAUGUGCUUAGAUCAGACCUGGAUGUUGCACUAUUUUCGCGUUUCAGAUUGUUAACUGUGCUAAAUCUAUGGUACGUUAAGGCAAGUAAACUGCCUAGUGCAGUGACCAAUCUUCGUAAUCUGCGGUACCUUGGCGUACGCUCCACCUACAUUGAAGAACUACCGAAAGAACUGGGGAGACUACGUAAUUUGCAAACUUUAGAUGCCAAAUGGUCCAGUAUCAAGGUAUUACCAAGUAGCAUAACCAAACUGAAGAACCUCCGGCACCUGAUAUUAUUUACACGUGGAACCACAGAUUUUAUGGAACCGGAACCUGGUACAGCAGUUUCUCUUCCAGAUGGUCUUGAAAAUCUCAAAUGCCUGCAGACUCUUAAAUAUGUUCAAGCUGAUCAGAAGGUGGUCAGAUCCUUAGAAAGCUUGGAACAGAUGAGGAGCUUAGAGCUAUCUGGAGUAGACCAGAGAAUUCUUAUCAAUUUGCCCUCAGCACUAUCCAAAAUGAGCUGCCUUCUGCGCUUGGGAAUAACCAAUUCUGAUGCUAAUGUAACAUUGGACUUGGAGCCAUUUUCUCCAGCACCAGUGAAGCUAAAAACCCUCAACUUAACUGGGAAGUUGGCAAGGGGUAAGCUACCAUCGUGGUUCGGUUCUCUUACCAACCUCAUACAUUUGCAUUUGCGUUCAUCUGAACUUGGAGAAGAUUCAAUUGUGCUACUCUCGUCACUUCCCAGGCUGUUACACCUUAGUCUCAUCAACGCAUGCAACGAGAGAAGCUUGACCUUUGCGGCAGGUUGUUUUCCAGUCCUUAGACAACUAAACCUACAGGGAUUGCCUAACCUUACCAGCAUAGAAUUUCAAAAGGACAGCCUAGCAGAUCUACGUCUGCUGACGCUUGGUCUAUGUCUUGAACUCACCGAGAUACCCCAAAGCAUUGAGAACCUCAUACAUCUGGAAAAUGUGGAGUUGUUUCAGAUGCCAAGUAAGCUCAUAGAGAAGAUACCAUAUGGGAAAGGUUACGGGGCAAAUCAUCAAGAUGGUCAGCGCACUACAGUUGUGAAGAACUUCUUCUGGCAUAAUGCACGAUUGUUGGAGCAAAAAAUUUAUAUCAACCUAUCAAAUGUUCAAGAGUCAUUCAAGACGGAUGCAGUCACAUUGCCAGUGGGGUCAGUCAACUCGUCAAAGUUUCACAAAUGGCUUUAG
rnacentral:rRNA from 1 species